AAUAUUGCACAAUGGGCGCAAGCCUGAUCCAGCGACGCCGCGUGGGGGAUGAAGGCCUUCGGGCUGUAAACUCCUUUCGCUACCGACGAAGCCACUUGUGGUCACGGCAGGUAGAUAAGAAGCACCGGCUAACUACGUACCACCAGCCGCGGUAAUACGUAGGGUGCAAGCGUUGUACGGAAUUACUUGGCGUAAAGAGCUCGUAGGUGGUUUGGCGCGUCGUCUGUGAAAUCCCGGGGCUUAACUUCGGGCGUGCAGGCGAUACGGGCAUAACUUGAGUGCUGUAGGGGAGACUGGAAUUCCUGGUGUAGCGGUGAAAUGCGCAGAUAUCAGGAGGAACACCGAUGGCGAAGGCAGGUCUCUGGGCAGUUACUGACGCUGAGGAGCGAAAGCAUGGGUAGCGAACA
rnacentral:rRNA from 1 species